GAGAGAGAGAGAGAGAGAGAGAGAGAGAGAGAGAGAGAGUUGCAGAUAAAGGGAAAGAGAUAAUUGCUCAGCCAGAAAUACAGAGAUAUCCAACAAAGAUAAGAGAGAGGGAGAGAGCUCAAUAGGAUCUUUAGCUUAGAGACAUAGUUACAGAGAAACUGAAAGGGAUAACUGCUAAGCCAGAGAUAUUAGAGAUUAUUAGACAGAGAGAGAGAGAGAGAAAUAGGAUCCUUAUCUUCGAGAAAAAAAUUUUCAGAGAAAGGGAAAGAGACACUUAGCCAGAAAUACUGAGAUUAUUACAUAGAGAAGAGAGAGAGCAAUAUGAUCCUCAGCUCAGAGAGAGAGGGAGAGAUGAAGUUACAGUCAUUCAGGCAGAUAUACAAAAAGAAAUACAGAGCAGAGAGAGAGAGAGACACUUAGCUUAGAGAGAGAAAGCAACACUUGAUCAGAGAGAAAGUAACAGUUGACCAGCCAGACCUAGCUCAGAGUAAGAGAGAUGAAGUUACAGUAAAUCAGUCAGAUAUACAUAAAGAAAUAUAGAGCAGAGAGAGACAUAGCUUAGAGAGAUAAAGCUACCCUAGAUCAGCCAGACUUAAGCUUUUAGAGAGAGAGAGAGGAAGAAAUACUUGCAGCCAGAAAUUCAUGAAGAAAUGUAGAGAGAGAAAACCAGAUUUCUUAGGAGAGAGAAAGAGGCUUUGCGCUUAGAGAGAGAUGCGCAUGCAUUUGCCGAAAGGGGUUUUGAAAGCGUGAAACUCAC
rnacentral:lncRNA from 1 species